rnacentral:rRNA from 1 species
UCAAGUAUAGAAGAGCACACGGUGGAUGCCUAGGCAUCAGGAGGCGAAGAAGGGCGUAGGAGCCUGCGAUAAGCUUCGGUUAGCUGGCAAGCGAGCGAUGAUCCGGAGAUGCCCGAAUGGGGAAACCCGGCGACCGUCAUGGGUCGUCACUGCUACGGCAGAGCCAACGCAGGGAACUGAAACAUCUAAGUACCUGCAGGAAAGGAAAUCAACCGAGACUCCCUCAGUAGCGGCGAGCGAACGGGGAAUAGCCCAAACCUGGUCAGUGUAAGCGUGCAGGCGUUGCUGAUCAGGGGUUGUAGGGCCUGGUGGCCGAGACUGCAUUCUCGGCGCGAAGUAAGAAAUGGAGCGUUUAGGCGAAGCGUCUGGGAAGGCGCAGCGCAGAGGGUGAGACUCCCGUAGCCGAAAGGCGCUUCACUUCGUUGCCAGGUACCUGAGUACGGUGGGGCACGUGGAAUCCCGCCGGAACCUGGGUGGACCAUCAUCCAAGGCUAAGUACUACCUGAUGACCGAUAGUGAACGAGUACCGUGAGGGAAAGGUGAAAAGGACCCCGAGAGGGGAGUGAAAAGACCCUGAAACCGUGUGCUUACAAACAGUGGGAGCUCUUCGGAGUGACCGCGUACCUUUUGCAUAAUGAGUCAGCGAGUUGUGGUUCGUAGCGAGGUUAAGCCGUGAGGCGAAGCCGUAGGGAAACCGAGUCUGAACAGGGCGAACAGUUGCGGGCUGCAGACCCGAAGCCAGGUGAGCUAUCCAUGGGCAGGGUGAAGCGUUGGUAAAACUUCGUGGAGGCCCGAACCCACUAGAGUUGAAAAUCUAGGGGAUGACUUGUGGAUAGGAGUGAAAGGCUAAUCAAACCUGGAGAUAGCUGGUUCUCUCCGAAAUGCAUUUACGUGCAGCGUCUGACAGCACCGUCGAGGGUAGAGCACUGACAGAGCUAGGGGCCCUCCCAGGUUACCAACCUCUAUCAAACUCCGAAUUUCGAUGAGUGACGUGAGGCAGUGAGACUGCGGGAGAUAAGUUUCGUAGUCGAGAGGGAAAGAGCCCAGACUACCGGCUAAGGUCCCCAAAUCCACGCUGAGUGGUCGAGGAUGUGGGGGAACCCAGACAAUCAGGAGGUUGGCUUAGAAGCAGCCACCCUUGAAAGAAAGCGUAACAGCUCACUGAUCGAGUUGUCCCGCGCCGUAAAUAUAACGGGGCUAAGCGUGGUACCGAAGCCGUAGGAUGAGUAAUCAUCGGUAGGAGAGCGUUCCAUGUGCAGUGAAGGGGAAGCGUGAGCGACCUUGGAGCGCAUGGAAGUGAGAAUGCUGACGUGAGUAGCGAUAAAGUGGGUGAAAAACCCACUCGCCGGAAGCCCAAGGGUUCCUGUCCAAGGAUCAUCCGGGCAGGGUUAGUCGGCCCCUAAGGUGUAGCCGAAAGGCGAAGCCGAUGGGAAACGGAUUAAUAUUUCCGUACCAUCACACAGGAGCAGAGCGGGGACGGAGAAGGCUAGGUCGUCCAGCUGAUGGAAUAGCUGGUACAAACCUGUAGGCUGCACUUCCAGGUAGAAAACGGAAGUGUGAGGCCGAGAGGUGAUGUCGAAGACACUGCGGUGUCGAAGCGAUUGAUGCCAUGCUUCCUAGAAAAGCCGCGGGCUGCGUUGAAUGUGUGGCGACCGUACCCGAAACCGACACAGGUGGGCAGGUGGAGAACACCAAGGCGCUAGGGAGAAUUCGGGUUAAGGAACUAGGCAAAUUGACACCGUAACUUCGGGAUAAGGUGUGCCAUCGGUACGUGAGGGGACUUGCUCCCCGAGCGGAGGGUGGUUGCAACAAAGCGGCGGUAGCGACUGUUUACCAAAAACACAGGUCUCUGCGAAACCGUAAGGUGACGUAUAGGGACUGACGCCUGCCCGGUGCCGGAAGGUUAAAAGGAGUCGUUAGGAGUAAUCCGAAGCGGCGAAUUGAAGCCCCGGUAAACGGCGGCCGUAACUAUAACGGUCCUAAGGUAGCGAAAUUCCUUGUCGGGUAAGUUCCGACCUGCACGAAAGGCGUAACGACUUCCGCGCUGUCUCCAA